rnacentral:lncRNA from 1 species
UUUCUUUUUUUUUUUUUUUUUUUUUGGUUUUUCGAGACAGAGUUUCUCUGUGUAGCCUUGGCUGUCCUGGAACUCACUCUGUAGACCAGGCUAGCCUCAAACUCAGAAAUCUGCCUGCCUCUGCCUCCCAAGACAUUUUUAAAAUUACAUUUAUCUCAAUGGUGGGUAGGUGGGAAUACAUGCCACCGUGUAUGUGGGAUAGGGUCAGAGGAAAAUGUAGAAUUAAUUCUCUGCUUCUACCCUGUGGACUUCAGAAAUUAAAAUCAGAUAGUCUUGCCUGGCAACAAGCACUUUUAUCCACUGAGCCAUUUUGCUUGCUCUGUCCUUAACCUCUUCUGUUGGGCAAAGCCUAACCUCCCAGGACUCAAUUCCCCAGGGACCAAUCCCAUUUGAACCAGGGCUUGGGUGUUCCAGUGAUGCCGGUCUGUGGUGACACAGGAAAAACUAGGAGGUCUGGGAUUUAGAGACAGCUGGCUCAUAAGGCUAGGUGCCCUUCACAGUUAGUUUCUGGGCUCCUCCUCUCUGUGGACUCAUCCGUGGUUUCAGAUUAUCCUGACCCUACCUGGGUGCUCUCCCACCCACUGUCCUUGCAGGGAUGGAAGCUACUUUCUCUUGAGAAUCCGCAGGUGUUAUGAACACAUGCUCUGAGGCUGGCCCUGACAGUAAACCCAUGGCUACAGCUGCAAGGUGGACCCUAAACACUACACAGUAUUCUUGGACAACCUCACUAAUGGGAUUCAGGCUGCUGGGAUGCAGUGCUGGGCCACAUCAGACUAGAAAGCACAAGGUACCCACCUCUCGGAUGUCUUCGUUGCCUUCCUUAAUAUUUUCAGUUGCCCCCACGACUAACUGGUGAAUGCUGUCGAUCUCAGUUUCCUGUGGAAGAGAAGAAUAUCAGGGAAGACAAGCAUUCUUUUCUCCACCAAGAAGACAUUCUUCUACAAGUACUUGUCUGAAGCAUAAAGCUUUCAGGGUGACCAGGCUGCAGUGUGGACACUCCACCCUGUGCACUGUGGCCAGUACUUCUCCUCAGCCCCAUUAUCUGAAGUACAGCUAGUGCUCCAGGCCUCUCUCUCAGAGCCAGCAAGUAGUACCACUGACCUAUCUGGCCCAUGGCAGGCCUUUCAGUGGGACUCUGACCAAGCCAGGUAGUGCCCUGCUGUAGUAACACCACAUAUGCCACCAUGAAUAUGUUCUCUACAUGGUAAUCCAGUGACAUACCCUGGCUAGCCAUACAGCAAAGGGAAUCAAAGGCUCCAGGACUCAGCCUUCUACCUAGGGACAUCAGCUGCCACUGCAGUGACUGCCCCAGAGGCCUAAGCAAAAAGCCCCCCUGAGAAAGAAGAGAGCUGCCCUAUGGGAAGUAUAGUAGGUUAUGAGGAUGGUAUCCCUCUGGAGUCCACCAUGGGCUGUUGGGAGCCGCGCCCACAUUCGCCGUUACAAGAUGGCGCUGACAGCUGUGUUCUAAGUGGUAAACAAAUAAUCUGCGCAUGUGCCGAGGGUGGUUCUUCACUCCAUGUGCUCUGCCUUCCCCGUGACGUCAACUCGGCCGAUGGGCUGCAGCCAAUCAGGGAGUGACACGUCCUAGGCGAAGGAGAAUUCUCCUUAAGAGGGACGGGGUUUCGUUUUCUCUCUCUCUUGCUUCUUGCUCUCUUGCUUCUUACACUCUUGCUCCUGAAGAUGUAAGAAAUAAAGCUUUGCCGC